rnacentral:tRNA from 1 species
GCGCCUGUAGCUCAGAAGGAUAGAGCAACGGAUUUCUAAUCCGUCGGUCGGGGGUUCGAUUCCCUCCAGGCGCG